AUCAAAUUCUUUAAUUCAAUAUAUAAAAACUAAAUCACUGAAACAAAAUUCAUAUACUUUCCAGUAUAAAAAAUUACUAAAUGAAAGUAAAUUAAAUAUUAAAGAUAAAAAAAAAUAACAGAGGUACCGAUUUCAACAAAGAGUUAUCACAAAUUAAAAAAAGAAAACCUAAUUUGAAGAUGAAUAGGAUAUUGGUUCACCCGAGAGAGGAGUUGUGAGGGUUGGCGCGUUGCCUAGUUCGGAUGAUGGCGCAAGAGCGACCGCCGGAGAGAGUGUUAUAAUCUUGAGUAUAAAAAAUGAGAUUGACGUGACUCUGCACCUUGUGUUCGUCAUCGGCGAAGAUAUCACAUAGAGCAAUGAUGUAAUCCAGAGGCAAUUCACCUGUUAUCCGCAGCGCAUGGUUGACGCCUCGAAACAUGUCUUUGCAUACAAUACGAUUGAAAUCGAAGACUCCAUAAAGGGACGAAUCCAGCGGUGGUGGAGGCACUGGAUUCAGUUGUUGCCUCAGGCACUGCUCUAUGGGGCUCGGUAUGCUCACUGAAGUUGUUAUCGUCAGUGCCAAAAGAAGCAUCGCAACAGCAAUCGCUCGUGAAGACAUUGGAACGUGGGAACCUGAUUUUGAUGCUGAAAUCUUAGGGUACUGUUCAAUGUUUCAGUUUUGCAGAUACCAUCAACAUUAUCAUCAAUAACUGGAUAAGAUGUGAGCCAUUGAUGGCCUAGACGAAGUGUUUUUCUCCCUUGAGCUCCUGCUGCCAUGCAAAGCAGGACUAGUGAAAACAGACUAACAACAACGUCGGCCAUUGGAAAAAUGUGUUUGUUUAUGUUCCAUGGAUUGUGAGACGACAGUUAUAUAUGCAUGGAGAAAGUUGAAGACGGCUGUGCCUAAGAUGCUUGUAACAUGUCUUCAUUCUCAUUGUUAACUCAACGUUCAAACCAAGGCACUGAAAUGGGUAUGGAUGAUUAUUACGUUAUCCGA
rnacentral:sRNA from 1 species